rnacentral:ncRNA from 1 species
CCUUAUUACGAGCGAGGUAGGGAAUGGGCCCGAUGAACUCGCGGCAACCUCGGCAAUAACAGUCGAAGGUGCCAAAUCCCACAGUUCCCCGGAGAACCGGCGGAAUCUGGAAGAUAAG